ensembl:snRNA U4 U4 spliceosomal RNA
AGCUUUGCGUAGUGGCAGUAUCGUAGCCAAUGAGGUUUGUCCAAGGCGCGAUUACUGUUAAUUGAAAAAAAUAAAAGAAUCUGAAUAAAUGACAGAUAUUAUUCAGUUGACAAAGGGGAAAGUCAUGACCAUAGCUGCUGCUG